CCCUCUUCAGGUUUCAACUUCAUGUGUUCCAUUAGUUGAAAUUUUUCUUGUUCGAUAGUUAUCAGAAAUGGGUGAAGAAGAUGAUAUUAAAGAAUUGUUCGAGUCCCAGGCUUUGUCGAUCAUCAUCAUCAUCAGAAUGAUAGAAAAGGAGAUCAUCAAUGGACGAACAUGGAAACGAUGAUGAUGAAACUUUAACUUGUAAAUCAUCAUCACAUCCAUGGAGGAUUCUUCAACAUUUGUUCUUCAAUAUCAGACAUGUUAGACGAUGCAUCUUCGUCUUCAUCAUCAACUUCCACUAAUUCUAAUGGACCUUUAUAUGAACUAUCAGAACUCAUGGCUCAACUCCAAUCAAGAGAGGUCUUUCAAAGAUUUCCAGGGAAAAUCUCAGUCGUUUACGCGUGUCCAGCGUUAGAAACAUACAACAAUUUGCCAAGAAAGAACGGCAUCACAAGAGGAAAAUCAAGCAUAUGGGGGUGGCUUUAAACAUACAACUUUGGCAAGUUGCAGGCCUCCUCUUUUUCCAGUACAAACUAAAACUUCAUCUCUUAGUUUUUUUUUUUUACAGCAAAUCGAAUUAUUAGAAUCUAUGCACAAUUGCUCAUGUUUCUAAACUUAUAAGGAAAAGAAAUCGAAUUUGCGGAUGAAAAAUUUUGUAAUUUUGAUCCUUUCUGGUAUACAUGAAAC